GAUGAACGCUGGCGGCGUGCCUAAUACAUGCAAGUCGAGCGAACAGACGAGGAGCUUGCUCCUCUGACGUUAGCGGCGGACGGGUGAGUAACACGUGGAUAACCUACCUAUAAGACUGGGAUAACUUCGGGAAACCGGAGCUAAUACCGGAUAAUAUAUUGAACCGCAUGGUUCAAUAGUGAAAGACGGUUUUGCUGUCACUUAUAGAUGGAUCCGCGCCGCAUUAGCUAGUUGGUAAGGUAACGGCUUACCAAGGCAACGAUGCGUAGCCGACGGGAGAGAGGGAUAGGCCACACGGGAACUGGAACAGGGUCCAGACGCCUACGGGAGGGAGCAGUAGGGAAUGUGGGGAAAUGGGGGAAAGCCUGACGGAGCAAGGCGGAGGGAGUGAUGAAGGCGUUGGGUUGGUAAACAUCGUUUAUGGGGGAAGAAAAGAUGUGGAAGGAAACGUGGCGGGCGUGACGGUAAGGAAUAAAGAAGCAACGGCUAACUACGUG
rnacentral:rRNA from 1 species